rnacentral:rRNA from 1 species
AUACCAAUACAAUGCCAAUGGUGUUGUGUUUGGAAUGAGAGUAAUCUAAACAUUUACUCGAGGAACAAUUGGAGGGCAAGUCUGGUGCCAGCAGCCGCGGUAAUUCCAGCUCCAAUAGUGUAUAUUAAAGUUGUUGCAGUUAAAAAGCUCGUAGUUGGAUGUCGGUAACUAUCAUAAGUGUCCACACUCAAUGUGUGCGUACACGAAUGUAGUACCUUCUUUCUGGUAGUAAUUUUAUAUUGCUCCAGAUAUUUUACUUUGAGAAAAUUAGAGUGUUCAAAGCAGGCGUAACUUUGCCUUUGAAUAUAUUAGCAUGGGAUAAUGAAAUAAGACUUUUGCCUUAUUCUCGUUGGUUCUUUAGGCUUAAGUAAUGAUUAAUAGGGACAGUUGGGGUUAUCUGUAUUUGAUCGCCAGAGGUGAAAUUCUAAGACUGAUCAAAGACAAACUACUGCGAAAGCAUUUAACAAGGAUGUUUUCAUUAAUCAAGAACGAAAGUUGGGGGAUCGAAGAUGAUCAGAUACCGUCGUAGUCCCAACCAUAAACUAUGUCGACCAAGGAUUCGAAAGCGUUACAUGAAUGACCUCUCGGGCACUUAUAGAGAAAUCAUAAGUAUUUGGAUUCCGGGGGGAGUAUGGUCGCAAGGCUGAAACUUAAAGAAAUUGACGGAAGGGCACCACAAUGAGUGGAAUAUGCGGUUUAAUUUGACCCAACACGGGAAAACUUACCAGGUCCAGACACAAGGAGGAUUGACAGAUUGAGAGCUCUUUCUUAAUUUUGUGGGUGGUGGUGCAUGGCCGUUUCUAGUUGGUGGAGUGAUUUGUCUGUUAAUUCCGUUAACGAACGAGACCUUAACCUAUUAAACAGUAACAUCUACUUGGAUAAUUUACUUCCAAUAGUAGGUGGUUUACUUCUUAGAGGUACUCUUCACGUAAAGAGUGAAUGGAAGUUUGAGGCAAAAACAGGUCUGUGAUGCCCUUAGAUGUUCUGGGCUACACGCGUGUUACACUGAUACAUUCAACAAGUAUAAUAUUCCUUGCUCUAGUGAGUCGGGUAAUCUUUUAAAUAUGUAUCGUGAUGGGGAUAGAGCAUUGUAAUUCUUGCUCUUGAACGAGGAAUUCCUAGUAAGUGCAAGUCAUUAACUUGCGCUGAUUACGUCCCUGCCCUUUGUACACACCGCCCGUCGCUCCUACCGAUGAAUGGUCCGGUGAGGAUUCGGGAUGACCUUUGAUGCUGAUUUAAUCACAUCACUGAUUGUCAGAACUUAUUCAAACCUUAUCAUUUAAA